GCUGGGUGUGGUGAUGCAUGCCUGUAGUCCCAGCUACUUAGGAGGCUGAGGCAGGAGGAUUGCUUGAACCCAGGAGGUUGAGGCUGCAGUGAGCCGAGAUCAUGCCACUGCACUUCGGCCUGGAUGACAGAGUGAGACCCUGUCUCAA
rnacentral:SRP_RNA from 2 species